rnacentral:lncRNA from 1 species
CACCAAAGCUUGGGAGACCUCCUGCUGUUUGGAGAACAAAAUAAAUCACAGUAAUCUGUGAUUCCCUGUAACCAAAUACAUUUUGAGUGAACGCAGUGGUGAUGACUCAGUGUCUAGCAAGGUGCUGGGCCUGGGCGGACAGUGUUUGGUGCUGGGAACUGGGCAGCCAGAGGCCAGCGCCCCAGAGCUCACAAAGCACAUCCAACAGCACGUGCUUAGAUCAGACUGACUCAUGGGGGUGGUGGGAGCUCCAGGAGAAGAAAUGCAUGUAGAGCUGUGGGGUUUCUAUGUGGGAAAUGGGGACGAUAAAAGCUCCUGAAAGACUGGCAAAGAGGAGAAACAGGCUCCCAGGAGUCUUCAACAGAACUUAAGCUGU